rnacentral:tRNA from 1 species
GGAGGCGUGGCUGAGUGGUUGAAGGCACUGGUUUCGAAAACCAGCGUGCGGGAAACUGUACCGAGAGUUCGAAUCUCUCCGCCUCCG